rnacentral:rRNA from 1 species
UGGGGAAUCUUCCGCAAUGGGCGAAAGCCUGACGGAGCAACGCCGCGUGAGUGAAGACGGCCUUCGGGUUGUAAAACUCUGUGAUUCGGGACGAAAGAUAAGUAGACGAAUAAUCUGCAUAAGUGACGGUACCGAAAAAGCAAGCCACGGCUAACUACGUGCCAGCAGCCGCGGUAAUACGUAGGUGGCAAGCGUUGUCCGGAAUUAUUGGGCGUAAAGCGCGCGCAGGCGGCUACUUAAGUCCAUCUUAAAAGUGCGGGGCUUAACCCCGUGAUGGGAUGGAAACUGAGAAGCUGGAGUGUCGGAGAGGAAAGUGGAAUUCCUAGUGUAGCGAUGAAAUGCGUAGAGAUUAGGAAGAACACCGGUGGCGAAGGCGACUUUCUGGACGACAACUGACGCUUAGGCGCGAAAGCGUGGGGAGCAAACAGG